CCCUUAGAUGUCCGGGGCCGCACGCGCGCUACACUGAAGGAAUCAGCGUGGCUUUCUCCCUGACCCGAAAGGGUUGGGAAACCCGUUGAAUCUCCUUCGUGAUAGGGAUUGGGGCUUGAAAUUGUUCCCCAUGAACGAGGAAUUCCCAGUAAGCGCGAGUCAUAAGCUCGCGUUGAUUACGUCCCUGCCCUUUGUACACACCGCCCGUCGCUACUACCGAUUGAACGGUUUAGUGAGGGCCUCGGAUUGGUCUCGGCCCGCUCUUUACCGGGCGGCGCCGUUGGUCGAGAAGACGCUCGAACUUGAUCGUUUUGAGGAAGUAAAAGUCGUAACA
rnacentral:rRNA from 1 species